rnacentral:tRNA from 1 species
UAAGCUCACCUGUUUAGAGCGUCGUGCUAAUAACGCGAAGGUCACAGGUUCGAGACCUGUAUGGGCCA